AUGCUUCUUGAUUGUGAAGCUAUUGCUGGGCUGCCCUGUCUGGAAGAAGCUCUUGACUGCUUCAGGGAAGUUGGUCUUCUGCCAUUCGUUACGGACAAAGAGAACUGGAAUGAAGAGCUCCUGUUGCAGUUCUACGCUACACUUCAUAUUCGUGGCUACAACAGGGAUCCAAAGACAUGGAUCCUUGAGUGGAUGACAGGAGAUGUGCAUCAUGAAGCCAAAGCUCAAGACAUCAUCGAGCUUACUUCCCUGCCCACUCCAGGUGAGUUGUAUGAACCUGGUUGUCAGCUUCACAGAAAUGAACUGCAGAGUAUUUUUCAGAGGCCUGAGCCCAAUAUGAGUGAGAUGCUCAGCAUGAUGAAGCCACUGCCCAAGAUGCUGAAUACCCCAAAGAGUUCUUCGUGA
rnacentral:rRNA from 1 species